ACCAUGGCAAAGGUGAAGUCCAGAGUGAACGGAUUGGGUCGUAUUGGGCAUCUGGUCACCAGGGCUGCUUCUAACUCUGGCAAAGUAAAUAAUGUCGCCAUCAAUGACCCCUUCAUUGACCUCAACUACGUGAUCUACAUGUUCCAAGAUGACUCCACUCACAGCAAAUUCCAUGGCACCAUCAAGGCCAAGAACAGGAAGAUUUUUUUUUUUUUUUUUUGUCAUCAAUGGAAAUUCCAUCACCAUCUUCCAGGAGCGAGAUCCCACCAAAAUCAACUGGGAUGACACCAGCGCUGAUUAUGUAGUGGGGUCCAUCAUCAUCUUCAAUACCUUAGAGAAGGUUGGGGCUCACUUAUGCAGGAGCUAAAGGGAUCAUCAUCACCGCCCCCUCCGCUCAUGCCCCCAUGUUUGUGAUGGGCAUGAACCACAAGAAGUACCAGAAAAACCUCUUCAUUGUGAGCAAUGCCUGCCUCUUGCACCACCAACUGCUUAGACCACCUGGCCAAAGUCAAUCACAAAAACUUUGGCAUUGUGGAGGGACUCAUGGCCACCGUCCAGGCCAUCUCUGCCACCCAGAAGACUGUGGAAGGCCCCUCUGGGGGAAGCUGUGGCACAACGGGUGUAGGGCUUUCCAGAACAUCAUCCCUGUAUCCACUGGCACUGCCAAGGCUGUGAGUAGGGUCAUCCUCGAGCAGCAUGGGAAGCUCACGAGCAUGGCCUUCUGUGUCCCCACAGCCAAUGUGUCCAUUGUGGACCUGAACUGCCAUUUGGAGAAACCUGCCAAAUAUGAUGACAUCAAGAAGGUGGUGCAGCAAGCAUUUGAGGGCCCCUCAAGGGUAUCCUGGGUUACCCUGAGCACAUAGUUGUGUCCUCCGACUUUAACAGUGACACCCACUCUUCCACCCUUAAUUCUGGGGCUGGCAUGGCCCUCAAUGACCGCUUUGCUAAGCUCAUUUCCUGGUAUGACAAUGAAUUUGGCUACAGCAAAAGGGUGGUGGAUCUCAUGGUCCACAUGGCCUCCAAGGAUUAA